rnacentral:rRNA from 1 species
GACAAAGGGUGCGAACGUUGUUCGGAAUUACUGGGCGUAAAGCGCGUGUAGGCGGCAAUGCAAGUCGGGCGUGAAAUCCCACGGCUCAACCGUGGAAGUGCACUCGAAACUGCAUAGCUAGAGUCCUGGAGAGGAAGGUGGAAUGCUUGGUGUAGAGGUGAAAUUCGUAGAUAUCAAGCGGAACACCGGUGGCGAAGGCGGCCUUCUGGACAGUGACUGACGCUGAGACGCGAAAGCGUGGGGAGCAAACAGG